CAUGUUUUCACUUUGCUUUGUCCAGCAUUGCAUCAUACCCAAGGAAUCACGCCCAAGAGCAUGAACAAAAGAUGACUCUGCUGCAGAGAGCUUUAAUGGCAAUGAGACUCUGGGGCACAGCUCAGUUGCUUCAGGAGGAGCUCAUGGCAGGGAGACAGGGGCCUCCAGCAGUGAUGGCAAAACUGGGCUGGAGCAAGAACAGCCACUGAACCUGAGCGACAGCCCCCUCUCUGGGCAGCUGGCUUCAGAAUACAGGAUAGAUGACCAAGGCAGUAAUGGGAAAAGCAAGUAUAAGAACCUUCUAAUCUCUGACCUCAAGAUGGAAAGAGAAGCAAGAGAAAAUGGAAGCAAGGUAAGAUUAUAUUACAAUAAAUUGAUGGUUUUUACGCUGGUCAUUAAUAUCAAGACAAAGCAC
rnacentral:lncRNA from 1 species